CUAUCAAAACUCUAUUUCCGGAUAUGUACAGCUUUGGCACCAAACAUGAAGGACAAGAUUUAUUGUAGCAAUGUUAAAACAGCUUGGGUAACUGCUUUGACAUAGGUGACUAAAGGUGUUCAAUUAAAAAAUUGUCCAUUGUUUGGACAUGCAGCUUGGGUGUUCGUAAAUCUUGUCCAUACAUACACCGAUCAAACUGUCCUGUGUUAUUGGCCGAUUCAUGUACGGCAUUUACCUCAGUGAAUAUUCUAAAAUCCCUUGAUGUGCACAUGAUUUAAGUCUCAAUAUACCUGGCGAAUUGCCAAUACGAAGCUAAAGUGACCAGGGUUAAAAUGUAAAUAUGUUAAAAGAGUAUUUUAUAGAAUUUAAAUAGUUUCAUUGUUAUUGAUAUCUGUAUUAAUAUAGGGAGGUGACCAUUCUACAUUGAUCCAGUGCCUUUUUAUGGGAUUCGAAACUGUGACUGUGAGAUGUAUGAGAGUUUGACUUCUAGGCGGGCAAUUCUACUUUCACUUUAAACGGAUGGCAGGUGCCUGAGUGUAUCUCGACCCAUUUCCAGGCUAGCAUCAGAUGUCAUGAUGGACCUUUAAAAUCUUUCACAUGUGUGCUUUCAAGAACCAUAUACAUUAUUUUUGAAAAUUGGUUGCCAUGGUAAUAAAAUCUGAAAAUUAACACAUGGGCUUCUGAAGGCGAAUUUUCCUCCAUUUCCUGGUAGUUUGUGACCUUAAGCACAAAUCAGCUUGAAACUUGAAUUUUCCAGGCAAGAAUUUUUUUGUUUAUUGUGUUUAAAUAUGAUGUUUAUGCUUUAAAUAUGAGGUUUAUACUUAAUAUUAUUGAUUUCAUUGAAAUUGAAGGUCAUCGAUUAGUAAAUAUGUCAGAAGUAUUCUUAGCAAUUGGUCGAGUGUGAGUGCAAGAAAUUUCUCCUCAGCCAUAAAUUUUCUAUGAAAGUUUUUUGCAAUGCUAAUGAUGGAUGGAUGUGUGUGUGUGUGUGUCUGUGUGUGUGUGUGUGUGUCUGUCUGUCUGUCUGUGUGUGUGUGUGUGUGUGUGUGUGUGUGUGUGUGUCUGUCAAUCAGUGAGUGUGUGUGUCUGUCUGUCUGUCUGUGUGCGUGUCUUUCUGUGUGCAUACGUGCGCGCGCAUGCAUGUGUACGUGUCUGUCUGUGUGUCUAUGUGUUUGUCUGUGUGACUGACUAUGUGUUUGUGUGUCUGUCUGUCUAUGUGUCUGUCUGUCUGUGUGUGUGUUUGUCUGUCCGUGUGUGUGUUUGUCUGUGUGUGUGUUUGUCUGUCUGUAUAUGUAUGUAUGUGUGUUUGUCUGUCUGUACAUGUAUGUUUGUCUGUGUAUACCCAUUCUAUGUGUGUGUUUAUCAGUGUGUGUCUGUCUGUGUGUGUUUGUCUAUGUAUGUGUUGUGUGUAUCUGUCUGUGUGUCUGUCAGGUAGUCAUAGAGAAACAGAUAAAGCUUCAGAAUAUAAAUUUCAAUUUUAUUGAAUUCACUGUAUAUUGCAUAAGGAUCACUAACAUAGGUGUGAUACACUGUACAUCUAGUGGAGUACACCGACUUUUCAGAAACUUUUUGAUAUGUCAUCCAUACGCAUCCUGGCAUGAAACUGCUUCGCUUCUGUUUGUCUAUUUGAAUUACACCAGUGGAUCUACAUAGGCUAGCUUAACUAUGACAUCAUAAUAUAACACGUAAUGUGAUGUCAUAAUAGAGUAAUGACAUCAGAUUUUUUUUUUUUUUUUCUUGGCUAGAGUUAUCUUCCUUGACAAAUAUUCUUCUUCAUACAAAGGUGUCUUAUUUUGACUUAUGUUUAUUAGAUAAAAGCAUGAUAUCAGGGUAAUUUAUUAAAGAUGUGACGGUUUAGACGAACCAAUUUUUAGGGCAAAUUUCUCAUUGAAAUAAGUUUUUUUGAACUUGAAAAAACAAAAAACAGACUCUCCAGGAUUGCUCAAGUUAACAUCCUUACUGGCCAUUUCAGGGGUUUUUUCUCUACAAUUCCUUUUAUUUCACAUCAAAUUUCCUUAAAAUACAAUUCUAGUCUUUAUUUGGAAUCAAAAUCGCAUGUAUUUCACUCAGUUCUGGGUCUUUUAUUCUAUUUUCAACUUUACCAAGGGGAAGAACUCUGCUGGAAACAGUGAUGUGAAGAGGGCAGUUUUUGUUCACUCAUUUCAAGAUAUAAUUAACAAUAACUCCCCAUGUAUGAUACAUCAUUUUACUCGGAAAAACUUAAAUUUUUAAACAGUAUAGGUAUUUCAUGAUGUCGUAGAAUUUCCGCAGUCUUUAAAGUCUCAAUAUACCUGGCGAAUUGCCAAUACGAAGCUAAAGUGACCAGGGUUAAAAUGUAAAUAUGUUAAAAGAGUAUUUUAUAGAAUUUAAAUAGUUUCAUUGUUAUUGAUAUCUGUAUUAAUAUAGGGAGGUGACCAUUCUACAUUGAUCCAGUGCCUUUUUAUGGGAUUCGAAACUGUGACUAUGAGAUGUAUGAGAGUUUGACUUCUAGGCGGGCAAUUCUACUUUCACUUUAAACGGUAAGUUGAAAAGAGCAUGCUGCAUCUUUGAUGUAAAAUAUCUCGAAAAGGAAUCAAGGACCCUAUUGCAAAUUUGGCCUUGUUGGAAAGGUUAGGAAUUUUGCUGAAAGUUGAUAUCUGUCAUUAUACUGGGGAAAUUUUUUUUUUUGAAUUAGGAGGGGUUGAAAAUGGGUAUAUUUUCCUCAUUUUUGUUGCUUUUUUACUUCCAGGAUGGCAGGUGCCUGAGUGUAUCUCGACCCAUUUCCAGGCUAGCAUCAGAUGUCAUGAUGGACCUUUAAAAUCUUUCACAUGUGUGCUUUCAAGAACCAUAUACAUUAUUUUUGAAAAUUGG